UCGGUUCUAUUAACGUAACAUUCAUUGUAGUGCUGGCAUGAACAGAAGAUGACUAGUGUGACCUUACAAGUGAGACCCUGACCCUGAUCAGGACUUCAAUGAAGAGAAGAUUUCCCUGGCACCUCUUCCUCACAGAAAAUCUCUAAACACACCAACAAAGGAGCAACUCUCAAAAUUCAGAGACAGCAUGCUUGAGAAGGCCAAUAUGAUGUGAUUGCUGGUGAAGGCACAUGUGACAGUGGUAGAGAAGCAGCUUUCUGGAAACAUCCCUGUAACAUGAAGUCAGCCAUUUACCCAUUACUCGCCGUAUUUUGUCAAGAACAAUGAUUCAACAACAUGAAUCUUUUGGGAUCUGGGACCCCUCUUGCAUGAUAGGAUUUUCUCUAAUUUCUUGUAUUUUUGAAAGUAUUUGUAAUUCUUUUGUCCUUCAAUCUUAAACAGUUUAAAGCACCAAAGAUGAAUACUCUGACUGAUGAACAUUCACCUGUUGAAAAUAAAAGAUUCU